UCAUUUUCAAAGACUUUCGUCAAAUUCAUUUUUUCAGAAAAUGCAAUGCUAUCUGAUAUAAAUGGUCAAAGAGUCAAAGAUUUGCUGGAUAAUGUUUUGAUUUAAAAUUCAUUUCCACAGAUUUUUUGAAAAAUCAUUUGAGACGUGUUUCAGUAUUUUUGCAGAAUCCAAGCAUUGUCUGUAGAAGGGCGAUUAGAAAAUAUUUUGGGCAAAGUAUUAUGUUUGCGCAAAGAGAACUUAACUUAAGAACUUCAAAAAUACGUGUUUCAGCGAUUUUGGAAAUUCAAUUCGCAACAGUGGCAAACUGGCAGAAAGGCUUGCAUAAAAGUGAACCUUUGUGAAUAUUCAACUGAUACGUGUUUCAUACUUUUCGCGAAUUCCGCCCAUCUUGUCGGAAUUAAUACGUUUUCAGAGGUUUUGGAAUUUCCACCUGCGGAAAGAUCUUUAUGGGAAUUCAUUUGAUAUGAAAAUGCGGCUCAAGGGUUUUAUGAAUGGCUUCAAGAUUUUCACCACAAGACAAACAUGGGCGGAAACUGUUGAUUCCAAGAUAUGCUUGUUUUUUCGAUGGACUUUUGACAUAUUUUUAAAUAGAAGUAGUAUUUUAAAUUUUUGAAAAAAAGCACGGUAAGGCCGGGCAAAACCAGCUAGUGUAUAUCGUAUACUAUUUUUAGAUUCAAUAUUUUAGCCUAAUCCGGGAAUAUGUAGACGAAAUAUGGGUACAUAUCGUAAACCCACAUUAAAAUGUUUUUUUUUUUUCAAAAUAUUUUUCAUUUGUUGUUCUGUAUCAAGGGCAGCUAUUUAUAAUAAUAAUAACAAUUUCGUAGCGUAGAAAUUCUGUAUUUACAAUGGAAGGUAUCAUUUUUCAAAUUGAUACCAUUUGUAGGCUUUAGAUAACCACAUUAUGUAUAUGUAAUUUAUAUACAGUACAUUUACGAGAAAAUAAAGUGAUAUCUUUCACAGCUAAA